GUUCGUGGCGGCCAUCUUAGGAAGGCGAAUGUGCGCUCGAAGCGGGAAUGAGACUGGUUAGGGCCGGCUGCUGGUGGGAUGGAAGCCUUGUUGUGAAAGCUAUUCUUUCACCUGAGUGGCCUGGAUAAUUCCUGUGAAGGAGGAGCAAGCUGUUAUAGUGCUUCUUGAAAGAUAAUAGCUAAGAAUGAAAGCUUCACUGCAAGCCUAGCACAAAGCAUUUUAGAGAAAGCUGCUGUUUCGGCAAAUCGGUUUCAGAUUGUUAACGAAUAUCUUAAGGUAACCUUUCUGAAAUUCUAAACCUCUUAAUUUAUCACAUCAUUCAUGCAGAUUGGUGGGGCCAAUGUGAUUUGAAGUGAAAUGUGAUUUUUCAGGCUUCAAAUUGCAGUAAGCUGGUAAAAUUGUUGACAUUGUUACUGUGACCCAUAAGUACUUUUCAGAUACCUGCAGACUGGAAUUUCUGAGGAAGAGCUAGGGCUUGAGAGGACGGAAGGGGUGGGUGGGUUCCAAACCAGAAUCCAAAGUCAGGCUUCACUGCGUUCAGUAAUGCGUCAGGGUGACAGGAUCCUCAGCUGAGAAAGCUGUUCCAUUUAGCAGGAGUGAACAAGCCCACCAACUUGUAAACAAACUCCCCCCCCCCCCCAACUUUCAGUGGAGAUUUUAAAAUAAAAAUGCGCCACACAUCUA